AUAAAAACUACAAUGUUUUUCAAAAGUAAUUAUUUGUUAAAAUUAUUCUUAGUAAUCAAGUAUACAUAUCUUAUUGACUUUUGAAAAGCUUAAUAUAAGUAUGAUUUAAAAAGAAAUUCCAAAUAGCUUUAGAAAUAUUUAUAGAGAAAUUGUAGUCCCUAUACAAACAGAACUGCAUAAUUUGCAACGAUGGACUUUUAUUUUUUCUGCUUGUGUGUUUUUUUAGUGGCCCUUAUACCCCUAUUUUCGAAUACUAAAUGCUAAAGUCUAACUUCUUUCUGUCUCAUUUCUCCUCUCUCCUUUGCCCUCUUUUUCUUCUAUGUCAACAUACCUCACCUCUCUCAUCUUAUCUCUUUCUUCAAAGUUUCUUAAAUCUUUUAUGUCUCUUUAUCUAUCAUUUCUUAUUCUCUUCA
rnacentral:lncRNA from 1 species